rnacentral:misc_RNA from 1 species
AUUUUCAGCGCCCAACAUAUGGCCGGUGAGGUAGCGGUGGAGGGUGCUGUGGCGGCAGCCGCGGUGGCGACAGAACUAGCCGAUUCCAGUCAGCAGUCCCAUAAAUUGGAGAGAAAAUGGACCUUUUGGUUUGAUAACCAGUCUAGGCCGAAGCAAGGUGCUGCUUGGGGCACUUCUCUGCGCAAGGUCUAUACCUUUGACACCGUCGAAGAAUUCUGGUGUUUGUACGAUCAGUUAUUCAAGCCGAGCAAGUUGCCGGCUAAUGCAGAUUUUCACCUGUUCAAAUCUGGAGUUGAACCGAAAUGGGAAGAUCCUGAGUGCGCUAAUGGAGGAAAAUGGACUGUCACGAGCAGUAGAAAGGCUAACCUCGAUAACAUGUGGUUGGAAACGUUGAUGGCUUUGAUUGGGGAACAA